UCGGGACCUAAGCCGAGGCCGAAAGGCGUAGGCGAUGGACAACAGGUUGAUAUUCCUGUACCACUACCAUCGUUAUUAUCGAGGGUGUGACGGAGAAGGAUAGUGUGUGCUAGCGAUUGGAAAUGCUAGUCUAAGCGUUUAGGGAGUUACGGUAGGCAAAUCCGCUGUAACAAUUCUGAGGCGUGAUGGGGAAGGCCCUUGAGGCUGAAGUACAUGAUUCCAUGCUUCCAAGAAAAGCAUCUAGAGAGAGAAGUAGUGCCCGUACCGCAAACCGACACAGGUAGAUGAGGAGAGAAUCCUAAGGCCGGCGGAAGAAUUGCAGUUAAGGAACUAGGCAAAUUGACCCCGUAAGUUAGCGAGAAGGGGUGCCUGCGAGAGCAGGCCGCAGAGAAUAGGCCCAAGCAACUGUUUAGCAAAAACACAGGUCUCUGCUAAAGCGUAAGCUGAUGUAUAGGGGCUGACGCCUGCCCGGUGCUGGAAGGUUAAGGGGAACACUUAGCGCAAGCGAAGGUGUGAACUUAAGCCCCAGUAAACGGCGGCCGUAACUAUAACGGUCCUAAGGUAGCGAAAUUCCUUGUCAGGUAAGUUCUGACCCGCACGAAUGGCGUAAUGACUUGGGCACUGUCUCAACUGCAAAUCCGGCGAAGUUGUAGUGCGAGUGAAGAUGCUCGCUACCCGCGAUUGGACGGAAAGACCCCGUAGAGCUUUACUGUAGCUUAGCAUUGAAUUCCGGUAUUGUCUGUACAGGAUAGGUGGGAGACUGGGAAACUAGGGCGUCAGCCUUAGUGGAGUCAACCUUGGGAUACCACCCUGACAGUACUGGGGUUCUAACAGGACGCCAUGAAUCUGGUGACUGGACAUUGUUAGGUGGGCAGUUUGACUGGGGCGGUCGCCUCCUAAAAAGUAACGGAGGCGCCCAAAGGUUCCCUCAGAACGGUCGGAAAUCGUUCGUAGAGUGCAAAGGCAGAAGGGAGCCUGACUGCGAGACCUACAAGUCGAGCAGGGACGAAAGUCGGGCUUAGUGAUCCGGUGGUACCUCGUGGGAGGGCCAUCGCUCAACGGAUAAAAGCUACCUCGGGGAUAACAGGCUGAUCUCCCCCAAGAGUCCACAUCGACGGGGAGGUUUGGCACCUCGAUGUCGGCUCGUCGCAUCCUGGGGCUGUAGUAGGUCCCAAGGGUUGGGCUGUUCGCCCAUUAAAGC
rnacentral:rRNA from 1 species